AUGAAUGCCUUGUUUUGGAAUAUUAGGGGGAUAACAACCCCAGGAAAAAAACCUUGCAUUAUUGAAACUCUAGCUAAACAUAAACCUAGUAUAGUAGCUUUUCAGGAAACAAAGAAAGAUAAACUCUCUGCUUCCUUUUUAAAAUCUAUUGGUGGGGAUAAACCUUAUAGUUGGCAUCACCUACCUGCUGAAGGCACUUCAGGUGGUGUUCUGGUAGGAGUAGACUUGGAUAUUUUUGAUGUUAUUAGCUGGAACUCCCUCAAAUACUCUGUCUCAUGUAAUCUAGUACAUAAGACAAGUGAAAAAACUUUCAGGUUCAUAGCAGUCUAUGGAUCACCAUAUGAAGAGGGCAAGGAUGAGUUCAUCUCUGAGCUCCAUAGUAUGUUCAUUGAUGACCACCCACCCACUAUUAUAGGGGUGGAUUUCAAUUUAGUUAGA
rnacentral:rRNA from 1 species